rnacentral:tRNA from 1 species
AAGUUUAGUGUAAUGGUAGCACGACAGCCUCCAAAGCUGUUUGUAAAGGUUCAAAUCCUUUAACUUG